rnacentral:rRNA from 1 species
GGUUAAGUGAAUAAGGGCGCACGGUGGAUGCCUUGGCACUAGGAGCCGAUGAAGGACGGGACUAACACCGAUAUGCUUUGGGGAGCUGUAAGUAAGCUAUGAUCCAGAGAUUUCCGAAUGGGGGAACCCAAUAUCUUUUAUAGGAUAUUACUUUUCAGUGAAUACAUAGCUGAUUAGAGGUAGACGCAGAGAACUGAAACAUCUUAGUAUCUGCAGGAAGAGAAAGAAAAUUCGAUUCCCUGAGUAGCGGCGAGCGAAACGGGAAGAGCCCAAACCAACAAGCUUGCUUGUUGGGGUUGUAGGACUCCAAUAUGGUAGUCUGUUAGUAUAGUUGAAGGAUUUGGAAAAUUCCGCUAAAGAGGGUGAAAGCCCCGUAGACGAAAUGCUAACAACACCUAGGAGGAUCCUGAGUACGGCGGAACACGAGAAAUUCCGUCGGAAUCCGCGGGGACCAUCCCGCAAGGCUAAAUACUCCCUAGUGACCGAUAGUGAACCAGUACCGUGAGGGAAAGGUGAAAAGCACCCCGGAAGGGGAGUGAAAUAGAUCCUGAAACCGUGUGCCUACAACAAGUCAAAGCUCGUUAAUGAGUGAUGGCGUGCCUUUUGUAGAAUGAACCGGCGAGUUACGAUUGCAUGCGAGGUUAAGUCGAAGAGACGGAGCCGCAGCGAAAGCGAGUCUGAAUAGGGCGAAUGAGUAUGUAGUCGUAGACCCGAAACCAUGUGAUCUACCCAUGUCCAGGUUGAAGGUGCGGUAAAACGCACUGGAGGACCGAACCCACGUACGUUGAAAAGUGCGGGGAUGAGGUGUGGGUAGCGGAGAAAUUCCAAACGAACUUGGAGAUAGCUGGUUCUCUCCGAAAUAGCUUUAGGGCUAGCCUCGGAAUUGAGAAUGAUGGAGGUAGAGCACUGUUUGGACUAGGGGCCCAUCUCGGGUUACCGAAUUCAGAUAAACUCCGAAUGCCAUUCAUUUAUAUCCGGGAGUCAGACUGCGAGUGAUAAGAUCCGUAGUCGAAAGGGAAACAGCCCAGACCACCAGCUAAGGUCCCAAAAUAUAUGUUAAGUGGAAAAGGAUGUGGGGUUGCACAGACAACUAGGAUGUUGGCUUAGAAGCAGCCACCAUUUAAAGAGUGCGUAAUAGCUCACUAGUCGAGUGACCCUGCGCCGAAAAUGUACCGGGGCUAAACAUAUUACCGAAGCUGUGGACUACACCAUUAGGUGUAGUGGUAGGAGAGCGUUCUAAGGGCGUUGAAGGUCGAUCGUGAGGACGGCUGGAGCGCUUAGAAGUGAGAAUGCCGGUAUGAGUAGCGAAAGACAGGUGAGAAUCCUGUCCACCGUAUGACUAAGGUUUCCUGGGGAAGGCUCGUCCGCCCAGGGUUAGUCGGGACCUAAGCCGAGGCCGAUAGGCGUAGGCGAUGGACAACAGGUUGAUAUUCCUGUACCAGUUGUUUUUGUUUGAGCAAUGGAGGGACGCAGUAGGCUAAGGAAUGCAUGCGAUUGGAAGUGCAUGUCCAAGCAAUGAGUCUUGAGUAGAGUUAAAUGCUUUACUCUCUAAGGACAAGUUGUGACGGGGAGCGAAAUAAUAGUAGCGAAGUUCCUGAUGUCACACUGCCAAGAAAAGCUUCUAGUGAGAAAACAACUGCCCGUACCGUAAACCGACACAGGUAGUCGAGGAGAGUAUCCUAAGGUGAGCGAGCGAACUCUCGUUAAGGAACUCGGCAAAAUGACCCCGUAACUUCGGGAGAAGGGGUGCUGACUUCGGUCAGCCGCAGUGAAUAGGCCCAAGCGACUGUUUAUCAAAAACACAGGUCUCUGCAAAAUCGUAAGAUGAAGUAUAGGGGCUGACGCCUGCCCGGUGCUGGAAGGUUAAGAGGAUGGGUUAGCUUCGGCGAAGCUCAGAAUUGAAGCCCCAGUAAACGGCGGCCGUAACUAUAACGGUCCUAAGGUAGCGAAAUUCCUUGUCGGGUAAGUUCCGACCCGCACGAAAGGCGUAACGAUUUGG